AUGCCAUCCGGGAGCACUCAAUGUUGAGCAAACAAGAAGAAAGACGAGAACCCAUUAUGCACAUUCGAUUCUCUU
ensembl:ncRNA B0478.23 ncRNA